GUUCGGAUUGAAGGCUGAAAUUCGCCUUCAUGAAGCUGGAAUUGCUAGUAAUGGCAGGUCAGCAUACUGCCGUGAAUACGUUCCCGGGCCUUGUACACACCGCCCGUCACACCAUGAGAGUUGGGAAUACCCGAAGCCUGUGAGCUAACUUUUAGAGGCAGCAGUCGAAGGUAGAAUCAAUGAUUGGGGUGAAGUCGUAACAAGGUACC
rnacentral:rRNA from 1 species